rnacentral:rRNA from 1 species
CCUACGGGUGGCAGCAGUGGGGAAUAUUCCGCAAUGGGCGAAAGCCUGACGCAGCGACGCCGCGUGAGGGAUGCAGGUCUUCGGAUCGUAAACCUCUGUCAGCAGGGAAGAACGGUCACUGUGCUAAUCAGCAGUGAAUUGACGGUACCUGCAAAGGAAGCACCGGCUAACUCCGUGCCAGCAGCCGCGGUGAUACGGAGGGUGCGAGCGUUAAUCGGAAUUACUGGGCGUAAAGCGCUGGUAGGCGGUAUGUCUAGUCAAGGGUGAAAUCCCCGCGCUCAACGUGGGGACGGCCUUUGAAACUGGCAAACUGUAGGGUGUGAGAGGAUAGUGGAAUUCCAGGUGUAGGAGUGAGAAGCGUAGAU